AUGGCUUGACAGUAGUAGUAGUCAUUUUGUAAUUCACUGACCUUGUUAAAUGUUUUACAGAAAAUUAUCAGGAAGGCAGACAGAAGGUGAGAGAAGCUGAAGAGCGGUCUGAUCUUCAGUCAGAUGUAGAGGAAUGCAGUGGACGGAAAACAAGGCGCAAAAUGCCAAGUAGCCGACUUCUGCAUGCUGGUUACCUAACAGACAGUGAGGAUGAAUCAAGAUCUCAGCAGUGUGACAACGGCUUAGCCAGUGCUCCACCAGUCUGUCCACCCACAUAUCAAGCCCUUCAUCCUCCCAUGAUGUCUCACCAAAACGAGAUGAGACAUGACAGUUUGUCCUCCACUAGCCAAUGGAAUACUGACCAGGACCAGAGGAGCAGCUUGCAGUGGGGACCCCAGUUUGAGUAUCACCCUAAUCCAAGAACACAGCCCACACCAUCGUGGUCUGCAUUAGAAACUACAAACUCACUAAUGUGGGAAAUGCUGACAAAGCAAGAAAUGAUUCUCGACCAGCAGAAACACAUUCUCCAUCUGCUCCAAGCAAGACACCAAGACAUGUCUGAUACUCAGACAUGUCUGAAUGAUAAUCUUUUGCCCAUAAAAGACCGGGAAAGUCUGCAGAAUCUUGAAGUCCAACUACAGGACUCAGAUUUCAAAAUGAAACUGAUAAACCACCUGAGCCUUGUUGGGGGCUGUGAUGCCAAAGACACUGUUUGGUGCAUCAUGAAGCAAACCAUCGCAAACAGCCUGGCAAUGGAAAUCAAUUGGAGAGGCGUUAAUGGCAAAACAUCAAUGGUUUCCCUGCUAUUGAAGGCUGUUAUAAUUGCUGCUGUCAGAAAAAAUCCACUGUCAUCGACAGCCUCCCAACAUGACAUCGAGACAUGGAUUAAAAGAUGGUUGCAUCUGGCGGCUGACAGGGAAGGGGGAGGAAAAGGCGAGCCAGGAUGGCUGAUUAAGGUUGUGACUUAAGUCAUGUGUUAAUAGUUUAAAAAUAACAGAAUAAUAAAAUAAUAAAUAUAGAAAAAAAGACAAAUAAAAAACAUAAAAAACAUAAAUUGUUUCAUUGUUUUAGUAACAUUAAUAACAAUAAUAAUAAUAAUAAUAAUAAUGUAAUAGCAACGAUAAUAUAAUAAUAAUA